AGAGCGAACGCUGGCGGCAGGCUUAACACAUGCAAGUCGAGCGGGCGUAGCAAUACGUCAGCGGCAGACGGGUGAGUAACGCGUGGGAACAUACCUCUUGGUUCGGAACAACACAGGGAAACUUGUGCUAAUACCGGAUAAGCCCUUACGGGGAAAGAUUUAUCGCCGAGAGAUUGGCCCGCGUCUGAUUAGCUAGUUGGUAGGGUAAUGGCCUACCAAGGCGACGAUCAGUAGCUGGUCUGAGAGGAUGAUCAGCCACAUUGGGACUGAGACACGGCCCAAACUCCUACGGGAGGCAGCAGUGGGGAAUAUUGGACAAUGGGGGCAACCCGUGAUCCAGCCAUGCCGCGUGAGUGAUGAAGGCCCUAGGGUUGUAAAGCUCUUUUGUGCGGGAAGAUAAUGACGGUACCGCAAGAAUAAGCCCGGCUAACUUCGUGCCAGCAGCCGC
rnacentral:rRNA from 1 species